rnacentral:rRNA from 1 species
UACAGAGGGUGCAAGCGUUGUUCGGAAUUACUGGGCGUAAAGCGAGUGUAGGCGGCCUAUUAAGUCAGAUGUGAAAUCCCUUGGCUCAACCGAGGAACUGCAUCUGAUACUGGUAGGCUUGAGUGUCGGAGGGGAUGGUAGAAUUCCUGGUGUAGAGGUGAAAUUCGUAGAUAUCGGGAGGAAUACCUGUGGCGAAGGCGACCAUCUGGAAGACAACUGACGCUGAGACUCGAAAGCGUGGGUAGCAAACAGG